ensembl:lncRNA
AGCGGGUUCACGCCGGAAGGCGAGAAGAACGGAAGGGGAGUGAUUUCGCUGCUUUUCGCUGAAAGGGGACGAUUCACUCCCGAGGGAGUGCGAAGUGAGGAGGUGAAUCUGAGGUGAAGGGGAGACGAUAAUGAUAGUGCUGAUGUCGGUGCGUCGGGAACCAAUCUGGUGCCAAGCUCCGCCUCUUCCGCGACGACCAAUCGCGUCGAGGGAACGGCCGGCGUGGACACGCCUCCCCCCGGCGCAUUUCGACAGAAUGGAAAACUGUUUCCGGUUGCUUUCGUCGUGUUGGUUGGGGGAAACCAACAGGGACGUGUGCCAAAUGACAUUCUUAAACAUCAAUUUGCUGCUCUCAUUCCUUGAGUGAAAGCCAAUCAGAGAAGGGUACAAACGGAUGGAGAUUUGUGUUUUUAUUUUAUUUUUUCAAGAGUACAUUUCUAAUGAUUAAGGUGGAUAUUUAGUUUAUGGAUGAAAAAAAUGAAUAUAAUAUUGUAUCUGCUCAAAAAGUGCCUCAUUUUCAGAUUGUAGCCAUUUUACAAAGAACUUCAAAACGGAAGUUUUUAUGUUUUUUUCGUGCUUGAUUUAAUGUAAAAAAAUGCAGCAGUAGAUAAAGAUAAAAGGGUGUGAGCUUCUGCUGCGUGCGUCGUCACAACGGAUGAUUCUGAUACCUGCAACCCGCGGGGAUCAGUUGAAAAUGACUGCAUGUUGAAUAUAACGCAACAUCCGUCAAAUGUACUUGUGCGUUGUCGCGUCUAACUUUCAGAAGUUGGAAACUGGAAAACACAAUAAAUCCGAUGCGACGUGAAUGGGGCAUUUUGCUAACGUUAACAAUGAUAAUGGUACUAGCCGAUCUGCUGGCCUUCCUGCCUACUGUGAGAAACGUUAGCAUAGCCUGUGUUAACAUUCGGCUCCCAUUCGGUCGUUUUAUCUUCCCGUUGACUUUUUUUUAACAAAGCCAUACACCUAGAAUAUUAAACACAGGCGUGAAGCGAAGGGGAAUACGGUAGCUCGCCAGUUAGCUUAAGCCACCCAGGUCAGAUUAGCCUAUUAGCAGGUUGCCAGGACAUAAAUUCGGCAUCCUGCUGAGUCACAGCUCGGGUUGAGACCCCUGACACGGAGCCACGGUAUCCCAUUAGCGCUAUUAGCUCCAGACACUUGUGUACGACUUAGUCCACUUUGUCUCAGGAGGGUAAAUGACCUUAGGUACUUACAGCGGAGGAUAGGGACCCUAUCAAUAGCCAUGCUGAUGCUACCCUCUUAGCACGGGGGAAAAGGAGGUCGCCUUAUAUCUCAAUUCAAUGCUACGUAAUGACAAAAUGGAUCCGCUAAGUUGUUCUCAGUUAUUUUGUACAUUAAGGUACUAAAGUUGAAGAUUAUACACUUUUUAUAAGUUAUAAUUUUGAAACGGGUUGGACUCAAGGUGCUUUGACCGUAAAUCCGUCUUAAAAGGCUCCGUUUCCAUCUUCGUCCCUCCAUUCAGUUCUUUUGCUCAGCUCUCACUUCAAUCUCCGCUAUGCAUCAGCACUAAAGUGCCUGUCUCUCCCUUCCCCUGCUUAGCAGCUAGUACCAAUAGCGCUGUCCUAGCACAAUAUAUGAUCAAGUCUAUUUUCGUGUCUCUUUUUGUCUCUUUCGGCUGCGCAGUUGUCAAGAAAUAUCGUGUUCACGUGACAGUGAUCCCUCAGGCGGCUUGACCGAAAGCCACGGCCCUAAUCGGGGGAGAUUUGGACCGUUUCGCUCUGCCGCUAAAGGAGGACUUAAUUGUCGCAGGGCCGUCGGUGCCAAAACCCAACAACAACAACAACAACAGGCUCCGACAGCACCUCAAGAAGCCACCUUCAGCUCGCAGAACUGGACGUAUUGCUUUGUUUUGUUUUUAAAAGUGUAACUUUUUGUGACGUAUCUGCCCUCCCGGUGUGCUCUUGCGAGGCUCGGGGAUAACGUUCAUCGCGAGGCCUCGCGCACGCGCUCUGGCCUUGACUUUCCCAACCGGAGGAAGAAAAAUGUAAAUAAAAAAAUAAUAAUAAUCCAUGUGCAUCAGUGUAGCUCCACGUUUCACUCGUGUGUUUGUCUGCGCCUCUCGGGAAGUUCAUGAACUCGCUCACUCUGGUCACGUGACUGGGGAGAACACAACAAUGCAGCUUUAUCAUGAGCAGAUUGGGAUCCGUGGUUGGAUUUGGCCCUAAUAGCGGUUACUAAUGCAGAAGUGGGGGCGCCGGGGGGAGCAAUUGGACUUCAAAUCAGAUUCAGCAUAUAAAUCACAGACUUUCAUGGGGACUCGCAGGCAAACACAUGAUACUUGAUUUAUUUAUAAUGUCUUCUGGAGAUGUUCUCGUGCUGAAACUCAGCAGUGUUUACGGCCAAGUGCUCGAGGGUUCUUUGUGUUAAAAAAAAAAAAGAAAAGUGUAAAAUCAGGCUUUCGGUCCUGCAAAGUGGACGUCAUCAUCCUGCCAUUUAGAGCCCACAUUGAGUUCUGAGCAACAUUUGAAUGAAGUUUUUAUUUUUUUUCCCACAUAUCACAGACUAAGAGCUCAGACACACGCGGUUCAAUAGUUUUGGAGGCUGCAUGAUUUUAUUCCGAGCAUCGGUUUGCGAGAUGUUCACAAAAUGUGCAGGAAAGCGCUGCUGUUGCUCUACAUUGUUUUUUUCUCUUCCUCCUGUUCCCCGCAGGGAUGGUAUUUAAUGGGAAUGUUGUGAGAUUUGCCAUUGAUGUAGAGAGUUUUACUUCUGUUGCUUUAGGAGAAAAAAAGUAAAAGGACUUGUGGUUUCUUUGGUGUCUGCCUUGCGUUUAUAGCAGGUUGAUGGUUUAAGACAUAAAAUUCAUCAGUUCUACAGAUACAAGCAUGGGGGGGGGUCAUAUUUACCUGCUGAGGCAAGUGUUAACAUUGCAUUAAAUGCCACAGACGCGGGUGGGCUCACACACACACACACACACACACACACACACACACACCGGCAGAUGUCACCCUGUAAUGUGGAAAAAGAAAACAGCCUGAUUGUUAUCCACGCAGUCACAUUCACCACUCCCAUUGAUAAGAUCUCUUGCUCUCCAAGUUAGCGGGUAGCCGGCGGCGGCGGGGGGGGUAAUAACUUGUCUUACUGGUCAUUUGACCAAUGUGGUGUUUGCUCUUUCGCUCUUAUCUCAUUUGACAUCUCUCGCUCCGCGCCCGGCUUAAGUGCAUAUGCUUUUUUUUUAAAUUAAAUUUUCAGGCAGGUAGAUCUGCGCUGUCUUUCUCUUCUUGCUAACGCACAUGAGGCCCUGCAUCCUCCUCGUCCACAGAUGGCCAAGUAACUCGACCCAGACAGAGGCACUGUGGGAAUUAAAAGAAAUGAGAACACAAACACGCAUGCACCCGCCAACA